GCUGAGUUUUUCUCCAGCGGUUCAUCGAGUCCUCUGACAAAGCAAGGAGCCGAUAUAGGGCCAGUGGGACGGUCGCCAGUCAAGGGGCUGGGCUUGGUGGAAAGAUUAAUACUCACUGGACGUCCAGUCGAAACGCCCUGAAACCUAUGAUGCUGUCGACCAAACGAAGGCCUGGAAUACCAAAAUAGCCACAUAGUCAGGGCUUUCAGGCCCCUGCCCAGGCACCUAUGGUACUUGCUGGACUUGAAACAGAUGGAAGGUGAGCUCUGCCUAGGACACGCCCAGCCUCAGCUGGAGGAGAAGCUGCCUCUUUCUCAGCCUGAGCCCCCUGCUGGCUCUGUAGGACUCAGGUCACUCCUUUUUGGCCCCUCCCCUGUUCUCCCCCGGCCUCCUGGGGUGCAGAGCCACCCUGAGAUGGGGUCCUGCCCUCUCCCGCCAUCUUUUCACCCCCUCUCUAGCCCUGGUCUAGGUGAGCUCCUGCCUGGUCCUGCCUCCUGGGUAAUGUAUCAGCCUCGCCCACUGUCUGCGGCUGCCUCUCUGGGCCCCUGGGACAGACCCCACUGUGUCCAGUUCAGGGCUGACCCUGCAGGAAUGAACUGGGGUCUGGUCUUGUGAUUCCAGAAAGCCAGGCUGCUGACGUCCCCAUCCACCAGCCCAGCCUGUGUCUUGCAGCCAUUGUAUUAGUCACAGGCUCGUGCCCUAUAGUCAGACCUCAUGCUUUCUUUUGGAGUUCGGGGUGUUGGUUGGAAAUAGUGGGGGCUAUAGGAGGAAGGAGGAUGGUUACACGGAAGGGCAUGAGAAGCUGGGGACCUGCAGGUCUCAGUCCCACAUUCUUUUUUUUUUUUUUAAGAUGGAGUCUCGCUCUGUCACCAGGCUGGAGUGCAGUGGCACAAUCUCAGCUCACUGCAACCUCGACCUCCUGGGUUCAAGCGAUUCUCCUGGCUCAGCCCCCCGCAGCAAGUAUCAAUGACCACAG
rnacentral:lncRNA from 1 species